UCAGAGCCUGCUGGGGCUCAUAAGGGUGAACACAGGAGCUGUGCUGGUUCUUUGCAGCUAGAGAGGAAGAACUUCUUCACCCAGGGCUUGAAGGCAGUAGGAACUUAUGAAGAGUUUCUUGAAGAGUCCUGGCUGUCCUGACCAUAGUUUGCAGAUCAGAACAAAGUGCCAGGUGGGCCAAGGGAUUGGUGUCAAAAUCAGAAGCCUGAAUCUGGUCUGUGAACUUCGGAGCAUCUCAAGCUGAAGGAUACAGUACUCUCAAGUGAAACGAGAAAAUCAUGUCUGUGACAACUGCCUGCUGGUGGCAGCUGCAGGAGCAGAGGAUUUCAGCCCUCCCAUGUUCAGUGCUUGGGACGCAUGUGGCAGAGUGGAGCUGGCAAGAGGAGAUUCCCUUUUCUGUGGCAUGAAUUACAGCAUCUUCUGCAGCUGAGGCUCUAACUUACUGGAGGACACUGCAUCUUCCUCAGGGACAAGGGUGAGCUGGACCCUCUGGGGACCUUAGAAAGGAAUUGUGGUUGGUGGUCACCUGGGGAACUUACUGCACACCAAUGUUGCUCUGAAACGAGUUGAGUCCAACAUUCACGUUUAGUAAGCCCCUAUGACAUGGUGAGGAUGAGCCAGAGUGACUGAGCAAUGCUGCACAACCCGAGACCUGUGUCUGCUUGCCUCUGCCAGGCUGUACCAGAGCACUGGAUUCCUACAGGUAGACCCAGAUCGUGAUGCCAGCUGGGAUUCAUUUACCUAGAUUUUUGCUUAAGCUCCCUGUGAAGACAGGCAUUUCUGGGAGGUGAUUUGUGUUGAACAUUUUGCAUACCUGCCUUAAAAUGGCUUCUGCAGGUACGUGCCUGUCUCCAGUAAUUGUAGAAAAAAAGUUGGAAUAGCUUAAAUUAUGUCCUUACCUUUUAAAUGUUGAGAGUCAAGAAAGGUCUGUUCUGCCUAUAGUAUAUAUUAUUAAUCUGUUCAGGUGUUUCAAGAAAACCACAUUGGUGUCAGGGAGGAGAGGUUUCUAUUGUUAAAACCCC